rnacentral:lncRNA from 1 species
GAGGAGAGCCUGGCAGACAGAGCUCUGGGUAGAGUCUGGGUAGAGGGACCUGUGGUGGGAGAAAGAGAGAAGAUCAGAGUGGAGGGGAGAAGCAGGGUUGGGGCCUUGAAGGUACUGCUGAGCAUGUGGGUCCUUAUCCUUACCCUGCAUUGCCCGCAGGCCUGACCUUUGCUUCAUUCUUCAUGGCUGCCAAGUGAGAGUGUGGCCCCUGCAGAUGGUUGGAUCAUCCAUCCAGUUCUUUGCUUCCUCUAGCUGAUAUCCUUCUUUGCUGUACUAUAUGGGAAAAGCAAGAAAUAUUUGACACCAAAAGUGCUUCCUUUGUGUGGCCCCGUAUUGCCCUGUAUAGAAGCAUUUCGUCUUCACAACAACUCUAUGAGCAGUGUGAAGAUGGACUAAUACAAAGAGGAACUAGGGGAGCUUGGAGGAACCAGAGACUCAAUCAGGGAUUCAAGUGAAGUCUCUGUUGCAAACCCUUGAGCAGGUGAGAACCCCUGGACUCUUGCAGGGGAUGUGGGAGGAGCUGUACAUACAGACAGUGCUGUCCAGCCAAUGUGGGUUCAAACCCUGCAUCUGUCACUGGCUAUGUGACCUUGAUCAAGUUCCUUAAGGUCUCCAGGUUUGUUUUCUUAUCUGUAAGAUGAGAAUCCUCUUCUGCAAACCAUGUCUGUUUAAAAUAUGUGCUUAUUUUGAAAGUGAUGUAGCAACAUUUUCUCUAGUUAAUGUUCUUUCUCCCUCAUAAUUUUAAAACAUUUAUUCAUGACUAUAAUGUUAAGUCUGUGACUUUAUUUUUGCUAAAUGUCCAUCUCAGAGAAGAAUAUGACUUUAUAUAGCGAAGUAUUUUUUAAAAAAUAGCCUUAGUAAUGCAUAUUUGCAAUAAAAAUAUUUGACAAUCCUAA